UACGUAGGGACCAAGCGUUGUUCGGAUUUACUGGGCGUAAAGGGCGCGUAGGCGGCGUGACAAGUCACUUGUGAAAUCUCCGGGCUUAACUCGGAACGGCCAAGUGAUACUGUCGUGCUAGAGUGCAGAAGGGGCAAUCGGAAUUCUUGGUGUAGCGGUGAAAUGCGUAGAUAUCAAGAGGAACACCAGUGGCGAAGGCGACUACCUGGCCUGUUCUUGACGCUGAGGCGCGAAAGCUAGGGGAGCAAACGGG
rnacentral:rRNA from 1 species